CCAAUAGCGUAUAUUAAAGUUGUUGCAGUUAAAAAGCUCGUAGUUGGAUUUCUGGUGGGAGCGAUCGGUCUGGCGCUUAGCGCGAGUACUUGCAUCGUCUCCGGCCAUCCUUGGGGAGAGUCUGUCUGGCAUUAGGUUGUCGGGCAGAGGAUCCUCAUCGUUUACUGUGAAAAAAUUAGAGUGUUCAAAGCAGGCUUAUGCCGUUGAAUAUAUUAGCAUGGAAUAAUAAGAUAGGACUUUGGUACUAUUUUGUUGGUUUGCGCACCAAAGUAAUGAUUAAUAGGGACAGUUGGGGGUAUUCGUAUUCCGUUGUCAGAGGUGAAAUUCUUGGAUUUACGGAAGACGAACUACUGCGAAAGCAUUUACCAAGGAUGUUUUCAUUAA
rnacentral:rRNA from 1 species